rnacentral:lncRNA from 1 species
GUUUUUGAGCAUUUCUAUAAUGUUUUUUAUGAGCGUAUUUUUCUUCAUAAUUUUCUCUUAUACGAUAGAAUCGUCUACAGAUAAAGAUAUUCCUAUUGAUCCAAGACCCGUUAAAUUUGUUGGUCGUUGCGACGAAAAAUUUGGAAACGAAGAAUGUACCCUUGACUGUAGAAGAAUGGAUUAUGCUGAUGGAUCCUGUUUUAAAUUUAAUACGCAACCUGAAUCUUAUUAUUGUUUUUGUACUUAUAAUAGCAAUGUUAUGUGAUAGAUAGCGUAUAAAAUAACAUUAUAUAAGUUAAAGAUAUUAAAAGAAAUUUUAUCAAAAAAUAAUAGCC